rfam:Ixodes scapularis strain Wikel colony gcontig_1108379822854, whole genome shotgun sequence.
CAAACGGCCCUUUUCAGGGCCCCCAUAUGUAGCAAACGGGGCGGUUU